CGUAAUUGAAGAGGUUUGGAAAGACCCACCACAGAAGGUAAUAGUCCUGUAUGUUAAACGAGAAGACUUCAGAUAUGAUCCAGAGUACCACGGGACACGUGAAACCCUGGGGGAAGCAGGAGGGACCACCCUCCAAGGCUAAAUACUACCUAGUGACCGAUAGCGUAUAGUACCGUGAGGGAAAGGUGAAAAGAACCCCGGGAGGGG
rnacentral:rRNA from 1 species